GAGGCAGGUCGAGUAAUCGCUCCUGAUUAAUUUUAGGAGAGGAAAGUCCGGGCCCCGAAGGGCAGCGUGGUCGGUAACGCCGACUUGAGGUAACUCAAAGGAAAGUGCCGCAGAAAAUAUACCGCCUUAUUUCUGGGGACACUUCUCAAACUGAGACGCGAGAUUUCACUAGAGAAGUGUCCCCAUAGAAGUAGGGUAAGGGUGAAAAGGUGGUGUAAGAGACCACCGUCUUUGCCGGUGACGGCAAGGUGUACGGUAAACCCCACGUGGAGCAAGGCCAAAUAUGAGGAGAGGGACGCCCUUCCCGUUAUUAUCCUCGGGUAGGCCGCUUGAUCCCGAUAGCAAUAUCGGGGCUAGAUAGAUGAUUACUGAAGGCGCGACUUAUCGCGUUUAACAGAACCCGGCUUACAGACCUGCCUUUAUU
rnacentral:RNase_P_RNA from 1 species